UCGAUUAGCCAUGCGAGUCGAGAGGGUUCGGCCCUCGGCGUACUGCUCAGUAACACGUGGAUAACCUGCCCUAAGGAAGGGGAUAACCUCGGGAAACUGAGGAUAAUACCCUAUAGGAUACCGAUGCUGGAAUGCCCGGUAUCCCAAAGCUCCGGCGCCUUAGGAUGGAUCUGCGGCCGAUUAGGUCGUUGUUGGGGUAACGGCCCAACAAGCCGAUAAUCGGUACGGGUUGUGGGAGCAAGAGCCCGGAGUUGGAUUCUGAGACACGAAUCCAGGCCCUACGGGGCGCAGCAGGCGCGAAAACUUUACAAUGCGGGCAACCGUGAUAAGGGAACCUCGAGUGCCUGUACAUGCAGGCUGUCUGGGUGUCUAAAACACACCCAAAGAAAGGGCCGGGCAAGACCGGUGCCAGCCGCCGCGGUAAUACCGGCGGCUCGAGUGGUGGCCACUUUUAUUGGGCUUAAAGCGUUCGUAGCUGGGUUGUUAAGUCUCUUGGGAAAUCUGGCAGCUUAACUGUCAGGCGUCUAAGAGAUACUGGCAAUCUAGGAACCGGGAGAGGUGAGGGGUACUUCGGGGGUAGGAGUGAAAUCCUGUAAUCCUCGAGGGACCACCUGUGGCGAAGGCGCCUCACCAGAACGGCUUCGACAGUGAGGGACGAAAGCUGGGGGAGCAAACCGGAUUAGAUACCCGGGUAGUCCCAGCCGUAAACGAUGCGCGUUAGGUGUGUCGAUGACCACGAGUCAUCGAGGU
rnacentral:rRNA from 1 species